rnacentral:rRNA from 1 species
ACGCUCGACACCUACGGGAUGCAGCAGUGGGGAAUAUUGCACAAUGGGGGAAACCCCGAUGCAGCGACGCCGCGUGAAGGAAGAAGUAUUUCGGUAUGUAAACUUCUAUCAGCAGGGAAGAAAAUGACGGUACCUGACUAAGAAGCCCCGGCUAACUACGUGCCACAGCCGCGGUAAUCUGAGCGGGCUGGCAAGGC